ensembl:lncRNA
CUAAAUGUACAUAAACACACAAACAUGGGUACGAGGACCCGACGCGCACCUAUACAACAAUCACACUACACUGACAAUAAAACAAUCUCUGACAAAGACAUGAGGGGAAACAUAGGGUUAAAUACACAACAGGUAAUGAAUGGGAUUGAAAACAGGUGUGUGGGAAGACAAGACAAAACCAAUGGAAAAUGAAAAAAGGAUCAAUGAUGGCUAGAAGACCGGUGACGUCGAAAGCCGAGCACCGCCCGAACAAGGAGAGGCAACGACUUCGGCAGAAGUCGUGACAGAUAUACAACCCCCUCAAUAGAAGGUAGGCCAUUACCACUUUAAGAAUACGGAUAUAGAAUCCCCUCAAUAGAAGGUAGGACCAUUACCACUUUAAGAAUAAAGCCAUUACCACUUUAAGAAUAAGGAUAUAGAGCCCCCUCCCCCUCAAUAGAAGGUAGACCAUUACCACUCUAUGAAUUAGGAUAUAGAAUCCCCUCAAUAGAAGGUAGGCCAUUACCACUUUAAGAAUAAGGAUAUAGAAUCCCCUUCCCCUCAAUAGAAGCUAGGGCCAUUACCACUCUAAGAAUAAGGAUAUAGAGCCCCCUCCCCCUCAAUAGAAGGUAGGCCAUUACCACUUUAAGAAUAAGGAUAUAGAACCGCCUCCUCCCCCUCAAUAGAAGGUAAAAACCUUUCAAUUAAAGCAGUGAGAAACAAACGAAAGUGGCAACAUUCGGGAAGUAUUCAGACCCCUUGAAUUUUCCACAUUUUGUUACGGUACAGCCUUCUAAAAUGUAUUAAAUAAUUGUUUCCCCUCAUUAAUCUGCAUACAAUACCAAUAAUGAAAAAACAAAAACAGGUUUUUAAAAUUUUAUGCAAAUUAAUAAAAAUGUACAAAACGGAAAUAUCACAUUUACAUAAGUAUUCAGACUCUUUACUCAGUACUUUGUUGAUGCACCUUUGGCAGCGAUUACAGCCUCAAGUCUUCUUGGGUAUGACACUACAAGCUUGGCACACCUGUAUUUGGUGAGUUUCUCCCAUUCUUCUCUGCAGAUCCUCUCAAGCUCUGUCAGGUUGGAUGGGGAGCGUUGCUGAGCAGCAUUUUCAGGUCUCUCCAGAGAUGUUUGAUCGGGUUCAAGUCCGGGCUCUGGCUGGGCCACUCAAGGACAUUGAGACUUGUUCCGAACCCACUCUUGUGUUGUCU